rnacentral:rRNA from 1 species
AACAAACGCUGGCGGCAUGGCUAACACAUGGAAGUCGAACGAAGGCUUCCGCCUUAGUGGCGCACGGAUGCGUAACGCGUGCGAAUCUGCCCUUGGGUUCGUGGAUAACAGUGAGAAAUUACUGCUAAUACCGGAUGAUGACUUCGGUCCAAAGAAUUAUCGCCCAGGGAUGAGCCCGCGCAGGAUUAGCUAGUUGGUGGGGUAAACGCCUACCAAGGCGACCAUCCUUAGCUGGUCUGACAGGAUGAUCAACCACACUGGGACUGAGACACGGCCCAUACUCCUACGGGAGGCAGCAGUGGCGAAUAUUGGACAAUGGGCGAAAGCCUGAUCCAACAAUGCCCCGUGAGUGAUGAAGGCCUUAGGGCUGUAAAGCUCUUUUACCCGGGAAGAUAAUGACUGUACCGUGACAAUAAGCUCCGGCUAACUCCGUGGCCACAGCCCGCAGGUAAUACGGACGGAGCUACCGUUGUUCCGAAUUACUGGGCGAUACCGUCACCUACGCGGCUUUCGUAGUUAGAGGUGAAAGCCUGGAGCUCAACUCCAGAACUGCCUUUAAGACUGCAUCGCUCGAAUCCAGGAGAGGUGAGUGGAAUUCCGAGUGUAGAGGUGAAAUUCGUAUAUAUUCGGAAGAACACCUGUGGCGAAGGCGGCUCACUGGACUGGUAUUGACGCUGAGGUGCGAAAGCGUGGGGAGCAAACAGGAUUAGAUACCCUGGUAGUCCACGCCGUAAACGAUGAUAACUAGCUGUCCGGACACUUGGUGUUUGGGUGGCGCACCCUAACACAUUAACUUAUCCGCCUGGGGAGUACGGCCGCAAGGUUAAAACUCAAUUGAAUUGACGGGGGCCUGCACAAGCGGUGGAGCAUGUGGUUUAAUUCUAAGCAACGCGCAGAACCUUACCAGCGUUUGACAUGGCUAGACGACUUCCAGAGAUGGAUUUCUUCUCUUCUGGGACCUGCCCACCAGGUGCUGCUUGGCUGUCGUCAGCUCGUGUCGUGAGAUGUUGGGUUAAGUCCCGCAACGAGCGCAACCCUCGGCUUUAGAUUCCAUCAUUCAGUUGGGUUCUCUAAAAGAACCCCCCGUGAUAACCCCGCAGAAGGGGGGGAUGACCUCACGCCCUUACUGGCCCUUACUCCCUGGGCCACACCACUGCUUUUCAUGGCAAGCUACAGCGCGCCGCAAUCCUGUGUAGGGUAUGCUCAUCUCCCAAACCGUGCUUUAUUACGAAUUGUUC